CAGGCCUAACACAUGCAAGUCGAACGCUAUUUUAUAGAGUGGCGCACGGGUGAGUAACACGUGGGUAUCUGCCCUUCUCUGCGGGACAACAGUUGGAAACGACUGCUAAUACCGCAUACGCCCUUCGGGGGAAAGGUCCGCCGGAGAAGGAGGAGCCCGCGUCUGAUUAGCUUGUUGGUGGGGUAAUGGCCUACCAAGGCGACGAUCAGUAGCUGGUCUGAGAGGAUGAUCAGCCACACUGGGACUGAGACACGGCCCAGACUCCUACGGGAGGCAGCAGUGGGGAAUAUUGGACAAUGGAGGAAACUCUGAUCCAGCAAUGCCGCGUGUGUGAUGAAGGCCCUAGGGUUGUAAAGCACUUUCAUUGGUGAAGAUGAUGACGGUAACCAAAGAAGAAGCCCCGGCUAACUUCGUGCCAGCAGCCGCGGUAAUACGAAGGGGGCGAGCGUUGUUCGGAAUUACUGGGCGUAAAGGGAGCGCAGGCGGUUCAUUUAGUUAGGCGUGAAAGCCCCGGGCUCAACCUGGGAACUGCGCUUAAUACUGAUGAACUAGAAAACAGAAGAGGAUAGUGGAAUUCCCAGUGUAGAGGUGAAAUUCGUAGAUAUUGGGAAGAACACCGGUGGCGAAAGCGGCUAUCUGGUCUGAUUUU
rnacentral:rRNA from 1 species